rnacentral:rRNA from 1 species
AUGGAUUCGUCUCACCACAAGGUGAUCGGGGUCGCUCCGGCGGCGGCGGAGGGAGGGAGGAUGUGCUGCGUCGAAUGCCGCACCACCACCACUCCCAUGUGGCGCAGCGGGCCAACGGGGCCGAGGACGCUUUGCAACGCGUGCGGGAUCCGAUACAGGAAGAAGAGGAGGCAAGAGCUAGGUCUCGACAACAAGCCGCAGAACCAGCAGCUGAACCAACAACAACAACAGCAGCAGCAGCAGCAACAACAACAACAACAACAAGAAGAUCACGGAGAGGCAACAAGUGCAGUAAAAGACAGCAGCAGCAGUACCAACAACAAAAGCAACAGUCUCCAAGUGGUGAAGAAGAAAAGGACGGUCUCAAUGGGGGUGGAGGAGGCUGCAUUCUUGCUCAUGGCCUUGUCCUCCUCAUCUACACCCCCACUACUACAUGGCUGA